GGUCAGGACGAACGCUGGCGGCGUGCCUAAUACAUGCAAGUCGAACGGUCUUUCUAUGGAAGCUUGCUUCCACUGAGAAGAUAGUGGCGAACGGGUGAGUAACACGUGGGUAACCUGCCCAUAAGAGGGGGGAUAACAUCCGGAAACGGGUGCUAAUACCGCAUAGUUUUCUUGAUCGCAUGAUCGGGAAAGGAAAGACGGCCUUUGUGCUGUCGCUUAUGGAUGGACCCGCGGCGUAUUAGUUAGUUGGUGAGGUAACGGCUCACCAAGACGAUGAUACGUAGCCGGCCUGAGAGGGUGGACGGCCACAUUGGAACUGAGACACGGUCCAGACUCCUACGGGAGGCAGCAGCUAAGAAUCUUCCGCAAUGGGCGAAAGCCUGACGGAGCGAACCGCCGCGUGAACGAAGAAGGCCGUGAGGUUGUAAAGUUCUUUUCGGGAGGGGGAACAACCGUGGCAGGGAAUGGCCGCGGGAUGACGUGAAUCCCGGAAUAAGCCCCGGCUAACUACGUGCCAGCCGCCGC
rnacentral:rRNA from 1 species